rnacentral:rRNA from 1 species
UCCAGACUCCUACGGGAGGCAGCAGUGAGGAAUAUUGGUCAAUGGCCGAGAGGCUGAACCAGCCAAGCCGCGUGAGGGAAGACGGCCCUAUGGGUUGUAAACCUCUUUUGUCGGAGAACAAAACCCGGGACGUGUCCCGGACUGCGUGUAUCCGAAGAAAAAGCAUCGGCUAACUCCGUGCCAGCAGCCGCGGUAAUACGGAGGAUGCGAGCGUUAUCCGGAUUUAUUGGGUUUAAAGGGUGCGUAGGCGGGCAUUUAAGCCGGCGGUCAAAUGUCGGGGCUCAACCCCGGCCUGCCGUCGGAACUGGGUGCCUUGAGUGGGCGAGAAGUAUGCGGAAUGCGUGGUGUAGCGGUGAAAUGCAUAGAUAUCACGCAGAACCCCGAUUGCGAAGGCAGCAUACCGGCGCCCUACUGACGCUGAGGCACGAAAGUGCGGGUAUCGAACAGGAUUAGAUACCCGUGUA